rnacentral:lncRNA from 1 species
CACAGUGCUCUUACAGCGUCCUGAGAACAUCUCAUACAAGGGAGGCUGAAUGCCGUUUCUAUUCAGCACUGCACUCGCCGCUCUGGGACAUCUGCAUCCUCCACAUUUCCACCUUGCCAACCCGGCUCAGACGAAAUGCCUACAUCUUCCCCUUGAGCAAUGGGGACGAGGCCCGGAUGAUUGUGGUUCCACAUGCUGAGGAGGAGAGAGACAAUAGGCUUUUAACUAACCACCAAGUGCAAUGCUUGGGAGAGUGUCAGAAAGCACCAAUGGCAGAAAGACCCCUUUACUCUCAGCCGUGCCCUCCAUUGCUCUAGAGGUGGAAGGCACAAAGCACUGCCUCCAUCCUUCAAUUGGAGACAAGCCAUAAACUGUCCUGCUUCCAGCUCUUUGGGAAGCUGGGAAAGCACUCGCAUUCCACAGUGCUCUUACAGCGUCCUGGGAACAUCUCAUACAAAGGCAGCUGAACGCCAUGUCUUUUCAGCCCUUAAUUUGGCAAUCUGCAACAUCUGCUUCUGCCGCAUUUCCACCUUGCCAACCCGGCUCAGACGAAAUGCCUACAUUUUCCCCUUGAGCAAUGAGGACGAGGCCCAUAUGAUUGUGGUUCCACCUGCUUAGGAGGAGAGACACAGUAGGCUUUUAACUAACCACCCUUGUGCAAUGCUUCGGAGAGUGUCAGAAAGCACCAAUUUCAGAAAAGCCCCUUUACUCUCAGCCAUGCCCUCCAUUGCUCUAGAGGUGGAAGGCACAAAGCACUGCCUCCAUCCUUCAAUGGGAGACAAGCCAUAAACUGUCUUGUCUCCAGCUCUUUAGGAAGCUGACAAACAGCUCGCUUUGCACAGUCCUGUUACAGCAUACCAGGAACUUCUCAUACAAAGGCAGCUCAAAUGGCAUUUCUUCCCAGCACUUAACUUGCAGCUUUAGAACUUCUGCUUCUGCCACAAUUCCACCUUACCAACCCGGCUCAGAGAAAAUGCCUACAUCUUCCCCUUAAGCAACUGGGCUGAGUCCCAAAUGAUUGUGCAACCAUGUGCUUAGCAGGAGAUAGACAAUACGCUUUUCACCAACCACAGUUGAGCACUGGUGGAGAGAGUCAGAAAGCACCUACGUCAGAAAGGCUCCUUUCCUCUCAGCCUUGCCCUCCAUUGCUCUAGAAAUGGAAUGCACAAUGCAUUGCCUCCACCCCUCAAGGGGCGACAAGCCACAGACCAUCUUUCUUCCAUCUCUUUAGGAAGCUGAGAACAAACUCACCUGACGCAUAAAAAGGAAUCAUGCC